rnacentral:misc_RNA from 1 species
GAUGAAGAACGUAGCGAAAUGCGAUAAGUAAUGUGAAUUGCAGAAUUCAGUGAAUCAUCGAAUCUUUGAACGCACCUUGCGCCCUUUGGCCAUUCCGAAGGGCAUGCCUGUUUGAGUAUCAUGAACACCUCAACUCUCAUGGCUUGCCAUGAUGAGCUUGGACUUUGGGGGUCUUGCUGGCCUGUGGUCGGCUCCUCUCAAAUGAAUCAGCUUGCCAGUGUUUGGUGGCAUCACAAGUGUGAUAACUAUCUGCGCUCGUGGUUUCCAUCAGAUAACCUCCAGUGAUGGAGGUUCGCUGGAGCUCAUAAAUGUCUCUCCUAAGCGAGGACAGCUCUUUUAAUGUUUGAUCUCAAAUCAGGUAGGACUACCCGCUGAACUUAAGCAUAUCAAUAAGCGGAGGA